ACUUUUCUCGUAUAUGUAUAAAAUCAAUCCGUUUGAUUUCUAAAUAAGAUGCAGCUGAUAUAUGAUUGUCGUCAGUUUGUACCAUAAGAUAUUGAUUAAGUCCUGCAACGAGCGCAACUUUUAUAUUUAAUUGUUAUUGUUGAAUUUGAAAACUCUAAGCAGAACGAUGGUGAUAAGUUUGAGAAAGAUGAGAACGACGUCAAGUCAUCAUGCCUCUUAUGU
rnacentral:ncRNA from 1 species